GCGGUUAAAAAGCUCGUAGUUGGAUUUCUGUCGAAGACGGUCGGUCCGCUCUAUGAGCGUGUAUCUGAUUCGGCUUUGGCAUCCUCGUGGGGAACGUAACUGUGCUUGAUUGCAUGGUGCGGAAUUCACGACUUUUACUUUGAGGAAAUUAGAGUGUUCACGGCAGGCAAGCGCCUUGAAUACAUUAGCAUGGAAUAAUAAUAUAGGACUUUGGUUCUAUUUUGUUGGUUUCUAGGACUAAAGUAAUGAUUAAUAGGGAUAAUUGGGGGCAUUUGUAUUAACGCGUCAGAGGUGGAAUUCUUGGAUUGCGUUACGACAAACUACUGCGAAAGCAUUUGCCAAGGAUGUUUUCAUUGAUCAAGAACGAAAGUAUGGGGAUCGAAGAUGAUUAGAUACCGUCGUAGUCUAUACCAUAAACUAUGCCGACUAGAGAUUGGAGGUAGUUCUUUUUAUGACUCCUUCAGCACCUUAUGAGAAAUCAAAGUCUUUGGGUUCCGGGGGGAGUAUGGUCGCAAGGCUGAAACUUAAAGGAAUUGACGGAAGGGCACCACCAGGAGUGGAGCCUGCGGCUUAAUUUGACUCAACACGGGA
rnacentral:rRNA from 1 species